AGAGAGGAAGAGAGCGAGGAGGAGGGACACCACACCACUUCACUCAUGUCCUUCAUGUACACCGUCAACACGUCAGGAACUUAAAAGCUCUACACUUCCACAUCACACUUCAUAAUUUCCAAUUCCUGGUUGUAGGACACAGUUGGACUGUCGAGACCUUUCUGGAAGUUCAGCGUCCCGCUGCUCUGUCUACAUCUAAACAACAAAAGGUGGAAGAAGAGGGCCUCAUCAACACCUCGAACGGCGCCAUAAUUAACCGACUCCUGAGGUGGAUGAUAACAGGCUCAUGAUCUCCGCAGACAGCAGUGCUGAAGAUGGACGAGGACAGAGGGACAGAUUAGCUGAAGGUUACGGAGAGCGCAGAACAGCAGGAUGGACACGCAGUGAGACAGCUGGACCCAGGCCAGCUGGUCUCUCUGUCUCUCUCUUUUUGUAUCUGCUUGUCUCUCUCUCUCUGACCCUCUCUGUUUCUUUGUCUCAUUCUGUGUGUCUUUCUCAUGCUGGAAUUGGCACUAAUUUAGAGACAGACAGAGACAAUCAGAGAUCAGAACCAGAAAGAGGAGAGAGAUAGAAAGAGAUUGAGAGAGAGAGAGAGAGAGAGAGAGAGAGAGAGAGAGAGAGAGAGAGAGA